rnacentral:rRNA from 1 species
GACGAACGCUGGCGGCGUGCUUAACACAUGCAAGUCGAACGAUGAAGCCGGAGCUUGCUCUGGUGAAUUAGUGGCGAACGGGUGAGUAACACGUGAGUAACCUGCCCCUGACUCUGGGAUAACUGCGGGAAACUGUAGCUAAUACCGGAUACGACCCUCGGAGGCAUCUCCUGGGGGUGGAAAGAAUUUCGGUCAAGGAUGGACUCGCGGCCUAUCAGCUAGUUGGUGAGGUAAAGGCUCACCAAGGCGACGACGGGUAGCCGGCCUGAGAGGGUGACCGGCGACACUGGGACUGAGACACGGCCCAGACUCCUACGGGAGGCAGCAGUGGGGAAUAUUGCACAAUGGGCGCAAGCCUGAUGCAGCAACGCCGCGUGAGGGAUGACGGCCUUCGGGUUGUAAACCUCUUUCAGCAGGGAAGAAGCGAAAGUGACGGUACCUGCAGAAAAAGCACCGGCUAACUACGUGCCAGCCGCCGCCGUAA